GUCUUAUUGAAAUUAUAAUUUUAAGUCAAUCUGCCCAAUGAUUUUAAAUUAAAUGGCUGCAGUAUAAUUAACUGUACAAAGGUAGCAUAAUCAAUUGUUUUUUAAUUAAAAACUAGAAUGAAAGAAUUAAUGAGAUAUAUACUGUCUCAUAUAUAUUUAAUAAAUUUAAAUUUUUAGUAAAAAUGCUUAAAUUAUUUUAUGGGACGAUAAGACCCUAUAGAAUUUUAUAUUAAUAUUUAAUUAAUUAUUUAAUUAUAAUAUUAAUAUUUAAUUGGGAGGAUUAAUAAAUUUAAUAAACUUUAUUUUUAAAGUAAACUUUAAUUUUAGAAUACAUGAUUUUGAUCUUAUAUUAUAAAUUAAAAAAAUAAAUUACCUUAGGGAUAACAGCGUAAUAUCUUUUUAAAGAUCAUAUUAAUAAAGAUGUUUGCGACCUCGAUGUUGAAUUAAGAUAUAUUUUAGGUGAAGAAAUCUAAAUAUUAAGUCUGUUCGACUUUUUAAAUCUUACAUGAUUUGAGUUCAAAUCGACGUGAGU
rnacentral:rRNA from 1 species